GCCUGGGUGGCUCAGUGGGUUGAGCAUCUGACUCUUGGUUCCGGCUCAGGUCACAAUCUCACGAUACGGGUUCGAGCCCCAUAUCGGGCU
rnacentral:tRNA from 1 species